GUAGUACUCCCUCCGUCCGAAAAUACUUGUCAUCAAAAUGGACAAAAAAGAAUAUAUCUAAAACUAAAAUACGUCUAGAUGCAUUCUCUUUUAUUUAUUUUAAUAACAAGUAUUUUCGGACGGAGGACGGAGGGA
rfam:Triticum aestivum genome assembly, contig: Triticum_aestivum_CS42_TGACv1_scaffold_250666_3DL